rnacentral:rRNA from 1 species
UACAGAGGGGGCAAGCGUUGUUCGGAAUUACUGGGCGUAAAGGGCGCGUAGGCGGCCUGUUAAGUCAGACGUGAAAUCCCUCGGCUCAACCGGGGAACUGCGUCUGAUACUGGCGGGCUUGAAUUCGGGAGAGGGAUGUGGAAUUCCAGGUGUAGCGGUGAAAUGCGUAGAUAUACGGAGGAACACCAGAGGCGAAGGCGGAUCGCUGGGCCAACACUGACGCUGAGACGCGAAAGCUAGGGGAGCAAACGGG